AUGUCAUGUACUUUGAUAAAACACUUUGGAAUUAACAACAAAUACAACAAGCAAAGAGAUGCUCAUAGGAGAAGCAGAGAAACGGGAGGACGAACAACGGAUAUGAUGAUGUUCCGGUGGUUGGACGAAAUUGGUGGUAGUCCGAUGAAGAUGGUACCGGCGGUGUGGAGAAUGAAGGGCGAAGGCAUUUCUUGGUGUAUGAAGGGUGUUGGAGGUGCGAUAAGAUUUAGGAUUUCGAAGGAGAUGAAGUUGUUGCCGCCAUUGUAA